GCGACCCCAGGUCAGGCGGGACUACCCGCUGAGUUUAAGCAUAUCAAUAGA
rnacentral:rRNA from 1 species